rnacentral:tRNA from 1 species
GGCGCCGUAGUGUAGUGGUGCGAGCGCAGCGCCCAACCAGGGGGUCGUGGGUUCGAAUCCCCCUGGCCCCC